rnacentral:rRNA from 1 species
AGAGUUUGAUCCUGGCUCAGAAUCAACGCUGGCGGCGUGCCUAACACAUGCAAGUCGCACGAGAAAGUGGAGCAAUCCAUGAGUAAAGUGGCGCACGGGUGAGUAACACGUGAAUAAUCUACCUCCGAGUGGGGAAUAACCUAGGGAAACCUGGGCUAAUACCGCAUAACACUUACGAGUCAAAGCAGCAAUGCGCUUGGAGAGGAGUUCGCGGCAGAUUAGCUAGUUGGUGAGGUAAUGGCUCACCAAGGCGAUGAUCUGUAUCCGGCCUGAGAGGGCGCACGGACACACUGGAACUGAAACACGGUCCAGACUCCUACGGGAGGCAGCAGUGGGGAAUUUUGCGCAAUGGGGGAAACCCUGACGCAGCAACGCCGCGUGGAGGAUGAAAUCCCUUGGGAUGUAAACUCCUUUCGAUCGGGACGAUUAUGACGGUACCGGAAGAAGAAGCCCCGGCUAACUUCGUGCCAGCAGCCGCGGUAAUACGAGGGGGGCGAGCGUUGUUCGGAAUUAUUGGGCGUAAAGGGUGCGUAGGCGGUUUGAUAAGUCUGAUGUGAAAUCUAUGGGCUCAACCCAUAGUCUGCAUUAGAAACUGUCGGGCUUGAGUAUGGGAGAGGUGAGUGGAAUUUCCGGUGUAGCGGUGAAAUGCGUAGAUAUCGGAAGGAACACCUGUGGCGAAAGCGGCUCGCUGGACCAUCACUGACGCUGAUGCACGAAAGCUAGGGGAGCAAACAGGAUUAGAUACCCCCGUAGUCC